CACUCAAUCUUUCGCCGCCACUUUCAUUCUCUCUCUCUCUUUCUUUUCUUUCAGCUCUAUGCUUUCACAGUUAUCUCAUCGUCAUCACUUGUCUACAUAGCUACCAGAUUUGAGUAAAUACUUCAUUCCACCAAGAAAAACCACUAACGGUUCAAUAAAAUCUCGGUCAGAAAAGCCUCACCGGAAAACUUAAACAAAAGAGUUCUUUACGAUUUUUUGUUCUGGUUUGCGAUUUCGCACUUGCGAUGUAUUUGGUGCAGGUGUUAGUUCGUAGAAGUGGACCUGGGGCCGUAGAUGCAAGGAAUGGUUGGGGGAGGCUAAGUCCACAUAUGCAGCAAUGUUAGCGUUGAUGCGUUGUCGCAGGUGCGAAGGUACUUCAGCAUAAGCGGAUGCGCAUCAAUGACGAGAAGUUCGCAGAAGCGGAGGGACGGAAGUUAAGUGACUUUCGCAUCUACGAUUAUUUUUCCGCAGAUGUGGUACCGCAGAUGGGGGAUUUUGGUCCGCAAAUACGAAAACUACUGGAUAGAAUAUUUAUUUCAGGGGUUUGGUUAUUUCUUAUUAAUUGGAGUUUUAGAGCUCGGCUAUAGGCGAUUUUUGGAGUGUUUUUUACUACAAUCUGAAGGAUUCGAGCCGUUCGAAGGUCGAUUCGUGUGCUAAGGGAUUUCUAGAGUAUUGAUUGGUUUGCUUGAGAUCCAGGCCCAGUUGAGAGUUGUCCGUACUUUGUUGUGACUUGCUAAGAGACGAGGUAGAGCUGCAUUCCUACCGCAAUUCUUGGCAUCUUUUUCCAUUUCAGUUGUUGUUAUUAUUCAACCAAUAUUUUAAUUCGUAUUGCCAUACUUGUAUUGCUUUGUAGAGCUUAUGACCCUAUAUUACUAGUUCUAGGGGGAUUGUUAUGUAUUGAUGCAAUUUAUUUAAGACAUUGGGCUUUAGAUU